UACGUAGGGGGCGAGCGUUGUCCGGAAUCAUUGGGCGUAAAGCGCGUGUAGGCGGCCUGGAAAGUCUGGUGUGAAAUCUUGGGGCUCAACCCCAAGCGGUCAUUGGAUACUGUCAGGCUUGAGUGCGGAAGAGGAGAGUGGAAUUCCUGGUGUAGCGGUGGAAUGCGCAGAUAUCAGGAGGAACACCAAUGGCGAAGGCAGCUCUCUGGUACGACACUGACGCUGAGACGCGAAAGCGUGGGGAGCGAACAGG
rnacentral:rRNA from 1 species